CUUACCGGGUCCGGACACACUGAGGAUUGACAGGCAAUCAUGUGAAAUGUUUCUAACUUUUACAUAUAAAUAUGCUAGUCCUUUCAUGAUUAUGUGAUAGGUGGUGCAUGGCCGUUCUUAGUUCGUGGAGUGAUCUGUCUGCUUAAUUGCGUUUCACAUAGGACUUAAACUCAAGUGUGCUACAUUUCUUGUACUUAUUAUAUGUAAAUUUGAUAUAAUAUAUAUAUGUGUUAUAAAAAUGAUUGUAAUAUAAAAUUUACUUUUUAUAUAAUUUUCAUUAAGUAUAUAUAAUAUUUUUACAAUUAUUACUAAAUAUUUACUAUUUUGAAAUUGUACGUACACAUUAGGUCCUGAAAGCAACGAACGUGACCGCAUCCUCUUGUUGCCUUUUACUAAAACGAGUAUCUUAAAAAUUAAUAUUUUUUAUUAAUAAAUUAUCUACAAGUUUUGACCAGAAAGUGCUUUAUCAAACUAGAGGGACCGCUGCGACUUUUUUAAACCAGAGGAAGGUUGCGGCAAUAACAGGUCUGUGAUGCCCUUAGAUGUUCCGGGCUGCACACGUGCUACAAUGAUUAUUGCAGUAAGCAUCUCAUUUUAUAAUGCUGUAUCAUCAUCAAUCUUUUUAAAAGUUACUUGAUUUAGUUGAACAGUAAAGCCUGCUUCGAAAGUUCGCAGGUAAUCAAUUGGAAGUAAUGAUUUCUCUUAAUUCAAUAUUGUUUGAUUUUGUGAGCACACAAUAUGCUGCUCCUUUCCCUGGCAGUUAGCUUUUUUGGUCUUUCUGUCUUUCAGUGAGUUAGGAUGUUUCUCAGCAUGUGCUUUUUGUCAAUUCUUGGUGGGGACAGACCAUUGUUAAUUGUUGGUCUCGGUCUUAACUAGGAAUGCCUUGUACGGGUCUUUGGUUCAACAAACCACCCGGAAUACGUCCCUGCCCUUUGUACACACCGCCCGUCGCUCUUACCGAUGGACUUCUCUGUGAGUUUGAGGGACUGAGUACCUUGCUUUUUUGAAGUUAUUACCACUUAUGGAAACUUAAACGAACAGUGUGGUCUAAAGGAAAGAGAAGUCGUAACAAGGCAUCGGUAGGUGAACC
rnacentral:rRNA from 1 species